CGCAUCUGUGCAUGCAGCAUAUCAAUAAGCGGAGGAAAAGAAACUAACAAGGAUUCCCUUAGUAACGGCGAGUGAAGCGGGAAGAGCUCAAAUUUGAAAUCUUCAAGGUUUUACCUUGACGAAUUGUAGUUUAAAGAAGUGUUUUCUGCUGAAGUUUUGGUAAAAGUUCUUUGGAAUAGGACAUCAUAGAGGGUGAGAAUCCCGUAUUUGACCAUUAUUUUCAGCUUUGUGAUACACUUUCAAAGAGUCGGAUUGUUUGGGAAUGCAGUCCAAAAUGGGUGGUAAAUUUCAUCUAAAGCUAAAUAUUGGCGAGAGACCGAUAGCGAACAAGUACCGUGAGGGAAAGAUGAAAAGGACUUUGAAAAGAGAGUUAAACAGUACGUGAAAUUGUCAAAAGGGAAGCGUUUGACACCAGUGUUGUUUUUCUGAGAAUCAAUUAAAGAACUGUUUAUGCUAAGCUGUUUAGACUUUAUCAGCUAUCUGUUUAGUUUUGAGCUUUUCUUUAAUGCACUUUUCAGUUAACAAGUCAACAUCAAUUUCUUUUGCUGUAAAAAGCUUGAGGAAGGUGGCUUGAGAUUCGUCUUAAGUGUUUAUAGCCUCUUGCCUAUGCAGUCGGAGAGAUUGAGGUCUGCAGCGUAGAUCCUUCGGGGCUAAAUGCAUUUGUGCUAAGCUAUAGCAUUUUAUAGACAACUUGUUGACUAUGAUUUGUCUUGUAGCUUACUCGCUUAUGCUAUUUUACCUACGCUUAGGAUGUUGAUAGUCACAGCGUGUAC
rnacentral:rRNA from 1 species